CCUACGGGGGGCUGCAGUGAGGAAUAUUGGUCAAUGGGCGAGAGCCUGAACCAGCCAAGUCGCGUGAGGGAGUACUGCCCUAUGGGUUGUAAACCUCUUUUGUCGGGGAGCAAAAGCCGGACGUGUCCGGCUGUGAGAGUACCCGAAGAAAAAGCAUCGGCUAACUCCGUGCCAGCAGCCGCGGUAAUACGGAGUAUGCGAGCGUUAUCGGGAUUGCUUGGGUUUAAAGGGUGCGCAGGCGGAUUGUUAAGUCAGCGGUCAAAGCGUGGGGCUAAACCCCAUCCAGCCGUUGAAACUGGGGAUCUAGAGUGUGCGAGAGGUAUGCGGAAUGCGUGGUGUAGCGGUGAAAUGCGUAGAUAUCACGCAGAACCCCGAUGGCGAAGGCAGCAUACCGGUGCACAACUGACGCUCAGGCACGAAAGCGUGGGUAUCGAACAGGAUUAGAUACCCGUGUAGUC
rnacentral:rRNA from 1 species